UUUCAUCCUCAGCAGCAGUGAAUGAGAUUCAAGGAUUAUACACAUUCUUGUCAUCUUGAUAAUACCUGUCAUUUUCAUUUGAACUUUCUGGUUGGUGAGUGGUAAUUCCAGAGGUAAACAUCCCUUAAUCCAUGGAUCUGACUUUUCUCUGAUUUCUCAUGGUCAUUCUCAGUAAUUCUUCUGGCCUCCUGAAAUCUUUAGCCAUCCCAUUAUUCGACAAAAGCAAAAACCUUCCUUGGGCCUUUUUCCUCAGAAGAUUGAUUGUUCUCACAUUUUAAAUGGGAGAUUGCACUAAGUUAGGAGAAAAUGCCACUGGGGUCAGAAGCAACCGAACCGCGAGUGACAACAGCUGCAGCCGCCAUUCCAGAGCCCUAUUCCCCUUGCUGCAGGAGAGGCGCACGACAGUGACGUCACGGGCGCGCCAAGGCCUGGCGGUCGGUGGCUGGCGCGGCUCAGUCAGGCCCGCGGAAUUGGCGAAGUGUGUGGAAGGAGCGGGAUCUGUAGAGCUCAGCAGCGGCGAGCUACAAAACAAAGAAUCGCUUUGCACAAAGCCAGAAGGGAUACACUGAAAGAAUUAUCGGGAGAGAAUAAUGCAUAGGCCUCUCACUGUUGUGGCCUCUCCCUUUGUGGAGCACAGGCUCUGGAUGCACAGGAUCAGCGGCCAUGGCUCAUGGGCCCAGCCGCUCCGCAGCAUGUGGGAUCCUCCCAGACCGGGGCACGAACCCGUGUUCCCUGAAUCAGCAGGCGGACUCUCAACCACUGCACCACCAAGGAAGCCCCUCCCUCUUUUUCUUGAUGAGUCUGGCUAAUGGUUUAUCAAUUUUGUUUAUUUUCUCAAAGAACCAGCUUUUAAUUUUAUUGAUCUUUGCUAUAGUUUUAUUUGUUUCUAUUUCAUUUAUUUCUGCUCUGAUCUUUAUGA